rnacentral:rRNA from 1 species
UACGGAGGGAGCUAGCGUUGUUCGGAUAUACUGGGCGUAAAGCGCACGUAGGCGGCGUCGUAAGUCAGGGGUGAAAUCCCGGAGCUCAACUCCGGAAUUGCCCUUGAAACUGCAAUGCUAGAAUCUUGGAGAGGCGAGUGGAGUUCCGAGUGUAGAGGUGAAAUUCGUAGAUAUUCGGAAGAACACCAGUGGCGAAGGCGGCUCGCUGGACAAGUAUUGACGCUGAGGUGCGAAAGCGUGGGGAGCAAACAGGG